rnacentral:lncRNA from 1 species
AGGUUUCAGAUGGUUUUGAAGCUCUCCAGGUGAUUCCAAUGUGCAGCCACGCUUGAGAACGCCUGCCCUGAACUGUGGGAAAGUCACCAUUAACAAGCAAGAGAUCUAGGGUCCAGCCCUCACAGUAGCACACCAAGGCUGCUCCAGGCUCCUCUGACUGCCAGGGACCUGAUUUGGGGGCCAGGGAGCGCCAUGACAUCUCUGGUGCUAUUUGUGUCUGAGAACAGCUGGUCCAAUCUCUUGAGGAGAUGGGGCUGGUCAGGACCAAGUUACUGGGAGUUGGAGCAGAAGCCAAGACACAUGGUGUGCCACGUGGUGCCGUGUCCAUACCUGGGAUCCGAACCAGCAAACCAGGGGCCGCCGAGAAGCGGAACGUGCACACUUCACCACUACGCCACACGGCUGGCCCCUAAUAGAAGUAUUUUUAAGGAAAAAGUGUGUUUCCUAUCUACCUCACAUUUGGACCUGUAUGAAAGAUUCAACCUUGCUGCCAUGGGAAGUUUUUCUCAAGGGAUCCUUAAAAGAAUCAGAGAAGGCAAUGUGACAGUGGAAGCAAAGUCAGAGACUGGAAGAUGCUAUGCUUCUGACUUUGAAAAUGAAGGAAGAGGCCAUGAGCCAAGGAAUGUGUGCAGCAUUUAGAAGCUGGAAAAGACAAGGGAAUGGAUUAUUUUCUGGAGGCUCCAGAAGAAGCAGAGCCCUGCUCACACCUUGAUUUUACCCUAGUGACAUUCAUUGCAGACUUCUGAUCCCCGGGCUUUUUCCUUAAACAACAAACACUGCUGUAUCCAUAAAGCCGGCCUCCAGCUUCUCUGUUUAAAGAAAUAUAUUUUACAU